ACAUGAUGAUGAUGAUGAUGAUGAUGAUGAUGAUGAUGAUGAUCAUUAUAGUCACCAUCAUCGUAACCUUACCUU
rnacentral:miRNA from 1 species